rnacentral:lncRNA from 1 species
CCAGCGGCUGUCUGCUUCUUGAUCCCUGCUGCCUCAGCAUGGCAGGAAGUCCAGCUGGAAGCAUCCGCCAGCCUCGGGAAUGGCCUCUGCCUCUAACUGCCUCCUCACAGACACGGCCAGGAAAAAGUCCAGCAGGAAUGGUGCAGCAUCAUGGGAGCCCUCCUGUGUGCCUGUCGCUACAAGGUGGCAUGUGCUGAUUUCAAGAAACGGACUUAGUGGAUGUUGCUCCAGACGGACUUACCCUGCCUGCCCCUCAGACUGGCUGCUCUGAACGUGGUGGCUCCACAAGACUUUUCCAAGGUGUUCCGUGUGUGCUGCUGCAAAGCUGUGGCCGCUCCAAAAUACCAUCGCCCAUUGUGUUUGCUCUCUGUGUCCCAGCCCUACUUCCCUUUCCCUCCCUCUUACUUCCCUGGACCGCACUCCCUGAUGGAGUAUUCCCACCAGCACUGCCUUCCUAAGAAACCAGCGGCGAAGGUCUACGUUCCACUCUUGAUUAUUUACUUUGUAGCCAGGCAGCUGGCAUGUCCCUCCUGGGUUCAUCUCAUUUGCUUCCAAGAGGUGUUGGGGCUAUCUUCUCCCAUUUUACUUACGGAAAUGUGAAAACAUUUGAAUACAGCUCCAAACUCAC